AUGAACCAUCGCAUCACAUCAGGUAUUUAUUACCAAGCAUUGGAAAUCAGAUAUGCAUGAAAAGCCACCUUGGUUAAAAAAUUAAAAGGCAUGCACCCCUUACCGAUCAAACAAACUAUACCCAUCUAUUACCCAACAUCUUUCUUAAACCAAUAAUAAUAUAUAAAUAAAAUCUCAAAACCACAUAUACAAACAAAAUCUCAGAAUUCCGAUGACGAAAGUGAGGAAGAUUGUACAAUUAGAUCGUGACAGACGAAAUUAGCAAUUACGGCUACCGUUACCGAGAUAACUUGCGGAAUUUGAAGUUCUUGAGACUUAUGUCACGUCGUGUUCUUUGGUGAAGACAUGACGGUUCAUCGGUUGGGUUCAGGCAGGGCCAUCAAUUUGGUAUUAGAGCAAAGGUCACCCACCAAGAACGAAUCAAGAAGGAUAACAUGAUUAGGAAAAUUGCAUAAAUUGCGAAUAUGAAGAAGACAGGCGAAACGGAAUUCGAACGGGUGUUAAUCAAACGGAGAAGAAGCAUAGGAAACAUCGCAGAGGGGACCAGCGACAAGAAAUAAGAAUGAAGAAGAAUUUGAACCGCCGAUUGCAAAAGGUUUGAGCAUUCGCUUGAGGCCGGCGGCAGAAAAAUCACAAAGUGAUUGGAGGAGAGAACCGGCAAGGAAGAAAUAGAAUGAUGCGUUUGUGAAUCAAAAGUUUGACCAAAAUUCAAAACUAAAGAAAGGUGUUUAAAUAGUAUUCAAACACAAUCACGUUCAGUCAAAAUUAGAAUUAUAUUUUUUACUCGAAACUUAAAAUCCGUUUUGAGGUCUUUUUUGUAUAAAAAAGGCUUCUUAAAUCCUUUUGUCUUUUCAGUUAGUGUAAUUUCGCUUAGGUUUUGUUAAUUAGUAGAUAUCUGCAUUUAGAAUUGUUCUAUUCGGAUUUGAUUGUACAUUUUGCUUCACGGGAGAUGAAUAUUACAUAUGUAUGUUUCAAGAAUU
rnacentral:lncRNA from 1 species